CCAAUGGCGUAUAUUAAAGUUGUUGCAGUUAAAAAGCUCGUAGUUGAAUUUCGGGGUUAGUAGGCUGGUUGUGCCACUGGUAUGUACUGGUCUUACUGACUUCUCCUUUCUGAAGAACUGUAAUGCCAUUAAUUUGGUGUUGCAGGGAAUCAGGACUGUUACUUUGAAAAAAUUAGAGUGUUUAAGGCAGGCUAACGCUUGAAUACAUUAGCAUGGAACAAUGAAAUAGGACGUUCGAUCCUAUUUUGUUGGUUUCUAGGAUUGACGUAAUGAUUAAUAGGGAUAGUUGGGGGCAUUAGUAUUCAAUUGUUAGAGGUGAAAUUCUUGGAUUUAUUGAAGACUAACUACUGCGAAAGCAUUUGCCAAGGAUGUUUUCAUUAAUCAAGAACGAAAGUUAGGGGAUCGAAGACGAUCAGAUACCGUCGUAGUCUUAACCAUAAACUAUGCCGACUAGGGAUCGGAUGAUGUUAAUUUUUUAAUGACUCAUUCGGCGCCUUACG
rnacentral:rRNA from 1 species